rnacentral:rRNA from 1 species
AUUGAACGCUGGCGGCAUGCUUUACACAUGCAAGUCGAACGGCAGCGCGGGCUUCGGCCUGGCGGCGAGUGGCGAACGGGUGAGUAAUACAUCGGAACGUGCCCAGCAGUGGGGGAUAGCUCGGCGAAAGCCGGAUUAAUACCGCAUACGACCUGAGGGUGAAAGCGGGGGAUCUUCGGACCUCGCGCUAUUGGAGCGGCCGAUGGCAGAUUAGCUAGUUGGUGGGGUAAAGGCCUACCAAGGCGACGAUCUGUAGCUGGUCUGAGAGGACGACCAGCCACACUGGGACUGAGACACGGCCCAGACUCCUACGGGAGGCAGCAGUGGGGAAUUUUGGACAAUGGGCGAAAGCCUGAUCCAGCAAUGCCGCGUGUGUGAUGAAGGCCUUCGGGUUGUAAAGCACUUUUGGCGGGAACGAAAAGGACUGUGCCAAUACCACGGUUCGAUGAACGGUACCCGCAGAAUAA